GCCUACGGGGGGCAGCAGUGGGGAAUAUUGGACAAUGGGCGAAAGCCUGAUCCAGCAAUGCCGCGUGAGUGAUGAAGGCCUUAGGGUUGUAAAGCUCUUUUACCCGGGAUGAUAAUGACAGUACCGGGAGAAUAAGCUCCGGCUAACUUCGUGCCAGCAGCCGCGGUAAUACGAGGGGAGCUAGCGUUAUUCGGAAUUACUGGGCGUAAAGCGCACGUAGGCGGCUUUGUAAGUUAGAGGUGAAAGCCCAGAGCUCAACUCUGGAAUUGCCUUUAAGACUGCAUCGCUUGAAUCCAGGAGAGGUGAGUGGAAUUCCGAGUGUAGAGGUGAAAUUCGUAGAUAUUCGGAAGAACACCAGUGGCGAAGGCGGCUCACUGGACUGGUAUUGACGCUGAGGUGCGAAAGCGUGGGGAGCAAACAGGAUUAGAUACCCCUGUAGUUCCC
rnacentral:rRNA from 1 species